GCCACUGUGUCACCGUCACUGUGUCACCGUCACUGUCACUGCCACUGUGUCACCGUCACUGUGUCACCGUCACUGUGUCACUGUCACUGUCACUGUGUCACUGUCACUGCGUCACUGCCACUGUCACCAUCACCGUGUCACUGUCACUGUGUCACUGCCACUGUCACUGUCACUGUGUCACCGCCACUGUGUCACUGACACUGUGUCACCAUCACUGUGUCACUGUCACUGCAUCACCAUCACUGUGUCACCAUCACUGUGUCACCGUGUCACCGUCACUGUCACUGCCACUGUGUCACUGCCACUGUGUCACUGUCAGUGUCACCGUCGCUGCGUCACCGUCACUGUGUCACCAUCACUGUGUCACUGUCAGUGUCACCGUCGCUGCGUCACCGUCACUGUCACCAUCACUGUGUCACCACCACUGUCACUGCCACUGUGUCACUGUCAGUGUCACCGUCACUGCAUCACCAUCACUGCGUCACCGCCACUGUCACUGUCACUGUGUCACUGCCACUGUGUCACCGCCACUGUGCCACUGCCACUGUCAGUCACUGUGUCACCAUCACUGUGUCACUAUCACUGCGUCACCGUCACUGCAUCACCAUCACUGUCACCGUCGCUGUGUCACCGUCGCUGUGUCACCAUCACUGUCACUGUGUCACUGUCACUGUGUCACUGUCACUGUGUCAACUCUGCCCCCUAGAGCCCUCUCGUCCCAUUGCACCUCGGCUGGACCCUAAGGACUGCCACCACGUCCUGUGUCACUGUGUCACGACGUCAUUGUGUCACCAUGUCACCGUGUCACCGUGUCACUAAGUCACCGUGUCACUGUGUCACUGUGCCACUGCGUCACCGUGCCACUGCAUCACCAUGUCACUGUGUCACCAAGUAAUCAUGUCACUGCAUCACUGUGUCACCAUGUCACCAAGUCACAGUGUCACUGUGUCACCAAGU
rnacentral:lncRNA from 1 species